rnacentral:rRNA from 1 species
UACGGAGGGGGCUAGCGUUGUUCGGAAUUACUGGGCGUAAAGCGCACGUAGGCGGCUUUGUAAGUUAGAGGUGAAAGCCCGGGGCUCAACCCCGGAAUUGCCUUUAAGACUGCAUCGCUAGAAUUGUGGAGAGGUAAGUGGAAUUCCGAGUGUAGAGGUGAAAUUCGUAGAUAUUCGGAAGAACACCAGUGGCGAAGGCGACUUACUGGACACAUAUUGACGCUGAGGUGCGAAAGCGUGGGAGCAAACAGG